rnacentral:misc_RNA from 1 species
UCACUGCUUGCGCAGGCAGUCUCACUAGAGUCCCCGGCUCUACCCGCUGGUAACUAGUGAUAGGGGUUGCGUUCGUUGCGGGACUUAACCCAACAUCUCACGACACGAACUGACGACAGCCAUGCAGCACCUCACUACCGGCCCGAAGGAGGGUCCUUUUCGGGACCUGUCCGGUAGCGUUCGAGCCCAGGUAAGGUUCUUCGCGUUGCAUCGAAUUAAGCCACAUGCUCCACCGCUUGUGCGGGCCCCCGUCAAUUCCUUUGAGUUUCAACCUUGCGAUCGUACUCCCCAGGUGGGAUACUUAACGCGUUAGCUUAGGCACUGCCCCAAAAAAAGAGCAACACCGAGUAUCCAUCGUUUAGGGCGUGGACUAC